rnacentral:lncRNA from 1 species
AUGCUGCUUAAGCGCCUCCCGCAUCCCGCCCCCCUCCUUCUCACCCAGCGGCUCCACAUGGCUCCCCUCAGUCUCUCUUCCAGCAAGAAUUCCCUCUUUCGGAUGCUGGAGAAGGGGAAAUGGAGCCAAUUACUGAAAUCGAGGAUCUCUUAUUCAAGUAUGCACGCAUGGAGAAAGCAUCAAAGAGAAGCUCUAGACCAUGCCGACUCAUUGAUGAAACUCCUCUGGGGAAGCUGGCUGGUGGAAAACCAAAAGGGAAAAGGUAGGAAGGAAAGAGGAAGUAAGGGCCAUCUGGAGGUGAGCAGACAGGUGGGCCCCUUCCCAUUGCCUGACAGAGAAACCACGUGCCUUGACCCAAGGCUGCAGGUGAGUGGUGAGCAGGUGGGAUGCAGGACGGGACACUGAGCGCAGAGUGCAGGCACACCUGGAGCUGCAGUGGCAGGGGGACGCCAAGGAUGUCAGCAGCCCCUAGGGUGAGCACUAAGACACCUAGAAGUCAAAGGCGCAUGGGAGAUGACAAUCUGCAAAAUGAGAAGGGGCUCUCUUCCUUGCAAGCUACAGAGAGGCCUGGGUUUACCCUGUCCCGGAACCUGCUGGCUGUGGAGCACAGGGAUGUUCUCUUCACCUGAAGACUCAGUUUUCUCGUCUUGAAAAUGAGCGGAACAAUAGUGUGUUUCUCAUAGCGUGUUGUAAGGAUUGAAUGAGAUAAUGCCCAUCCGGCAUGUAGUAAUGCACAGUAAAUGCAGGCUAAAUAAGAGAGAGAUUCCCCAAACCAGCAUCAUAUGAUCUACAAGGUUCCUGUUUCAUCUUGUACUUGGUAGAGUAGCGUUUGAAUUAAUGAUGUAGAUAAUAAAUUGCCAUGUGCAGAAAACA